UGAACGGAAAACGUAAAGUGGCCAAAGCUUUAGAGGACGAAGACGGGAGUGGUUUCUCUUCAGGAGACGAUGAAACAAAGUGAUCGGUUAGUGUUUGAAAGGCAGCGAUGGAAAUGUAACAAAGAUCUAAAUCAACGCCGACGCUUCCUGACAGUUCCUGGGAAGUUGUAGUUUAACUUCUAGACUUCCUGACAGUUAACUGGGAAGUUGUAGUUUAACUUCUAAACUUCCUGACAGAUGUCUUGUUUUGUCCACAACUCAAAGAUAUUCCGUUUCCUGUCCCAGAGGAGAGAAGAGACUAGAACAUAUUCACAUUUAACAAGCUGACAUCACCCAAGUUUACCUGUUUUAGCAUCAAGAAAAUGACUCAAACUGAUUCACGGAUUAUCAGAAUAGUUAGGGAUACAUUUGUUGACGACUGAUCGAUGAAUCAGGAUGGUUUGGUUCCUGUGGUGGAAAGAAGGCCUGUGAUUGGUGUCUUAACACUAAGCCCCGCCCCUCAGGCUGCAUCUCCAACCGCUGCGUUUUGGUUUAAAAACUGAAUAUCUUCUGCUACGUUUCCGCCUGGCGUCCACGCUACUUAAACGUUAACGUUUGAAGACACAACUCACAAUAUUCUUCAACAAAACACAUGAAUACAUGAAGUAAAAUAUAAAUGAAAACAGUCAUAUAUCCAAAAACAAUUCCAUCUCGAUGUAUAUUGUUAAUAACAUUCAGUUACACAACACAAAAUAAAAAUGUUUUUAAAAAAUCUGGUAAAAUAUGAGCAACUUAAUCAGUGAACAGAAUGAGAAUGUUUGUUUUUGUGCUUUUUUUUAAUUUUCAACCACGGAUCGUUUUUGUCUCAAAACGGCCCAAGUCUGAAGUCUGAUUUUUAUGUUUGACUCUUUUCGUUUUGAGGUUUUUCUGACUAAGUCUCGUGUGUGGACGGAGAUCGUUUUUGUCUACAAACGUUUCCUAAAAACCAGAACAUAGCGGUGAGGAUGUAGCCUCAAACUCCUGCAGAGGUGCUGUUUUAAUUUGUUUUUUUAUAAACACACACACACACGCAAAGAAACACACACAGACACACUCCUCCACGGAGAGACACACAAACACAUACAUACACACACACAGGAUCAUGUACUACCAGUGUUUAAGUUGUGUAUGUGUGUGUUUCGGGGAUUUGGGGAAAACGGACCUAUGAAAAUAUGAAGAAGAGGAGGAGGAGAAUGGAAAGCGAUCCGUGUUUGGAGCCGUGCAGAGACACUGAGUGAUCCGAGACGGAGACGUUGACUUGUUUUAGUUUGAAUUUAAGACUGAGAGAGAAACACAAACUGAUCCCAGCGCUCCUCCUGGCUUUACUUGAUCACCCAACAUGUUGGAGACGCCGUGUCCGGGUCACUUUGGGUCCAUGUCCGGGUCACGUUGGGUCCAUGUCCGGAUCACGUUGGAUCUGUGUGGCGUGCGUGUUUGUUGGGAGCCGCCGGCGGCACUUUGUGCCCGCCGUUCCCUGUGAACGUAACGGUAACAGCGGUCCAGAUGUGUGGCUGCAUCGGACCGUGGAGUUUGUACAGCUGGAUUCUUUGCUUUGACUUUUAGACGUGAUGUAAUUAAAGAGCUUUGAGAGUUUUUCUGUUGAAUGAAGAUUCUUAUUACGAAGUUAAAGUGAAGAUUCCUGAACGGUUUGGUUUUAAACUAUUUAAAUCAGA